UUUUUUGUGUGUUUGUGUUUAAAGUUAUCUAUGAAUGAAAAAGUCAUAAUAGAAAAAGGAAAAAAAAAAAAACGUAAUUGCAACA
rnacentral:ribozyme from 1 species